UGCCUGUUGUUUUGGAUGGCUGUGUUUCUGGUGCAUGUGAACCUUCGAUUACCCAUGACUAGAUCCACACUCAUCCACAGCAAGCGGCC
rfam:Zootermopsis nevadensis contig19537, whole genome shotgun sequence.